CACACCAACACCUGCACACCAACACCUGUACACCAACACCCACACCAACAUCCACACCAACACCCGCACACCAACAUCUGCACAGCAACACCUGCACACCAACACCUGUACACUAACACCUGCACACCAACACCCACACCAACAUCCACACCAACACCUGCACACUAACACCUGCACACCAACACCCACACCAACACCUGCACACCAACACCUGCACACCAACACCUGUACACCAACACCUGCACACCAACGUCCACACCAGCACCUGCACACCAACGUCCACACCACCUGCACACCAAUAUCCACACCAACACCUGCACACCAAUAUCCACACCAACACCUGCACACCAAUGUCCACACCAACACCUGCACACCAAUAUCCACACCAACACCUGCACACCAACGUCCACACCAACACCUGCACACCAACACCUGCACACCAACGUCCACACCAGCACCUGCACACCAACGUCCACACCAACACCUGCACACCAACAUCCACACCAACACCUGCACACCAAUAUCCACACCAACACCUGCACACCAAUGUCCACACCAACACCUGCACACCAAUAUCCACACCAACACCUGCACACCAACGUCCACACCAACACCUGCACACCAACACCUGCACACCAACGUCCACACCAACACCUGCACACCAACGUCCACACCAACACCUGCACACCAACGUCCACACCAACACC
rnacentral:lncRNA from 1 species